rnacentral:rRNA from 4 species
GGGACAAAUGAUUGGGGUGAAGUCGUAACAAGGUAGCCGUAUCGGAAGGUGCGGCUGGAUCACCUCCUUU